rnacentral:lncRNA from 1 species
UCGGUGUUCAAUUUCAGUGGCGGGAGAGAAACUGAGAAAGAGCCAUAGGGUUUCAACUUUGCUUUAACCAUUUCACAAUGCAAGAUAUGGGCCUCAUUUAAAAUAAAUAAGAAGCCCAACACAAAAGACUUACAAGUUAACAUUUGGACUUUAGAAAAUGGAGGAAAUUAAAAGUUGGCCCAAUUAUAAUACUCAUCACCUUCCCUUCCUUUUGAAUUCAAGUCUGCGUUCAAGCUUCUGCAAUAAUGGCGG